UACGUAGGGGGCUAGCGUUGUCCGGAUUUAUUGGGCGUAAAGAGCGUGUAGGCGGCCAGGUAGGUCUGCUGUGAAAACUCGAGGCUCAACCUCGAGACGUCGGCGGAAACCAUCUGGCUAGAGUCCGGAAGAGGAGAGUGGAAUUCCUGGUGUAGCGGUGAAAUGCGCAGAUAUCAGGAAGAACACCCGUGGCGAAGGCGGCUCUCUGGGACGGUACUGACGCUGAGACGCGAAAGCGUGGGGAGCGAAGCAGG
rnacentral:rRNA from 1 species